AGUGAACGCUGGCGGUAGGCCUAACACAUGCAAGUCGAACGGCAGCACAGUAAGAGCUUGCUCUUACGGGUGGCGAGUGGCGGACGGGUGAGGAAUACAUCGGAAUCUACUUUUUCGUGGGGGAUCACGUAGGGAAACUUACGCUAAUACCGCAUACGACCUACGGGUGAAAGCAGGGGAUCUUCGGACCUUGCGCGAUUGAAUGAGCCGAUGUCGGAUUAGCUAGUUGGCGGGGUAAAGGCCCACCAAGGCGACGAUCCGUAGCUGGUCUGAGAGGAUGAUCAGCCACCCUAGAACGGGGACAGGGUCCAGACUCCUGCGAGAGGCAGCAGUGGGGAAUAUUGGACAAUGGGCGCAAGCCUGAUCCAGCCAUCCCGCGUGUGUGAAGAAGGCCUUCGGGUUGUAAAGCCCUUUUGUUGGGAAAGAAAAGCAGCAGGUUAAUACCCCGCUGUUCUGACGGUACCCAAAGAAUAAGCACCGGCUAACUUCGUG
rnacentral:rRNA from 1 species